AGCGGCGAACGGGUGAGGAACACGUGAAGAAUCUGCCUUCAACUCUGGGAUAACUCCGGGGAACCGGGGCUAAUACCGGAUAUGAGCCUUGAUCGCAUGAUCGGGGCUGGAAAGUUUUUCGGUUGAAGAUGACUUCGCGGCCUAUCAGCUUGUUGGUGAGGUAAUGGCUCACCAAGGCGACGACGGGUAGCCGGCCUGAGAGGGCGACCGGCCACACUGGGACUGAGACACGGCCCAGACUCCUACGGGAGGCAGCAGUGGGGAAUAUUGGGCAAUGGAGGAAACUCUGACCCAGCGACGCCGCGUGAGGGAUGAUGGCCUUCGGGUUGUAAACCUCUUUCAGUAGGGAAGAAGCGAAAGUGACGGUACCUACAGAAGAAGCACCGGCUAACUAUGUGCCAGCAGCCGCGGUAAUACAUAGGGUGCAAGCGUUGUCCGGAAUUAUUGGGCGUAAAGAGCUCGUAGGUGGUUCGAUACGUCGGAUGUGAAAAUCAGGGGCUCAACCCCUGACCUGCAUCCGAUACGGUCGAGCUAGAGUUUGGUAGGGGAGACUGGAAUUCCUGGUGUAGCGGUGGAAUGCGCAGAUAUCAGGAGGAACACCGAUGGCGAAGGCAGGUCUCUGGGCCAAUACUGACACUGAGGAGCGAAGGCGUGGGGAGCGAACAGGAUUAGAUACCCUGGUAGUCCACGCCGUAAACGG
rnacentral:rRNA from 1 species